ensembl:lncRNA
GUUGACUUAUUAGGUACAUACUUGUGGGACACAUAGGAACUGACUACUUCAUGACCAGCUCCAGGAGGGUGACAGCUUAGGAGACAAAAUCUUUUAACUCUAGUUCAAGGAGUCUUGGUGGGUCUUUGUGACCAUUACAUCAUUUUAGAUUCUCAUCGGCAGAAAGAGACUGGAGAAGGAUUAGCAGACUAAGCCUGGUUGUGAGUAGAUAUUUGGAUACAAAUUGCUUCAGAGACCAGCUCCACGAAUAUUUGUCACACACCUACCGCAUGCUGAUCCCUGGUGAUGAAAAUCUGCCUUGUGCUAGAGCUGCUUCAAACAGUGCCAGGAUACAAUCCAAAUUUUCUCGUAAUAUGAAGAAACGGGAAAAUAUGACCCAUAUUCAAGAGAAAAAGGUAUCAACUAAGACGAAAGCUGAGAUGAACUGGGGACUGGAAAUCACAGACAAGGAUUUUAAAGCAUCUCUUAUAACUAUGUUCAAGGACACAAAGGAAAAUAUGCUUAUUAUGAUAAAAAGAUAGGAAAUCUCAGCAGCAAAAUGAAAACUACGAAAAAACACCAAAUGGAAAUUCUAGAACUGAAAAAUAUGCAUCUAAAAUAGAAAGUUCAUUGGAUGUUCUUCAUAGCAGAUUGGAGAUGACAGAAAAGUCAGCCAACGUGAAACAGAUCAAUAGAAAGUAUUCAAUCCAAGGAUUAAAAAAAUGAACAGACUCUCAGGGAUCUGUGGGCCAAUAGCCAAAGAAAUAACAUAUGUAUAAACGGAAUUCCAAAAGGAGAGGAGUGAGAGAAUGAAGCAGGAAAAACAUCUGAAGAAAUAAUGGCGCCAGAUUUCCUAAAUUUGGUGAAAGACAUAAGAUAUAGAUUUAUAAAGUCAGUGAGCUCCAAGAAAGAUAAAUUCAAGACAACCAUGCCUAGGCACAUCAUAGUCAAACUGCUAAUCAUAAUGGGAGACAUAUUCCUAGUGCCUGAAAACACAGACUCUGAAUCAGAUAGCCUUGCCCUGAAGCCUGCCUCUGCUGCUUAAUGUCCAUGUGACCUGGGGCAUAUGACUUUAAGUACUCAGCAGAUUUUUGGCUCGUAGAGUACUUAAGAAGUUAAGGAUCAACCAUUGGAAGGAUUGGGAAGAGAGAAAUGGACUUUAGGAUAAAAGAAAAGAGAGAAAUCAGAGAGAGAUUCGUUAACUGAUACUUAUGGCUAACUCUGGAUUCAAAGACUGACCCAACAUGCCCCUAUUCACUGGGGUACUUGUAGGUCCCCUCUUGCCUAAAUAGGCUUAAGUUAUCCUGUGGUCUCCUUAGGCCAGCUGAAGAUCACCAAAGACAAGGGGCUCCAUCAAAGCAAGAUUAUUUCAUAAGGUCAAUCACUUGAUGUGGCCUCUUGCUGGCAACAUUAGUGCUGGAUUUUGUACUCUUGGGGGCCAUGAUGAACAAAACAACAUAAGAUUAAAUCAAGCACAAGAGAAAAUGAUGCAAUCAAAAGAUGCGGUAAACACGAGAUGUAUGAGAUUGCUGCCGGUGUAACACAGCAUGCUGUUUUACAGUAAACUUUUCUUUUACAGGAAGGAAGAAUACACUUUAAAAUAAUGAUAAAAAUUAAGUUAUAGUAAAUACAUAAACCAGUAACAUAAUCAUUUAUUAUCAUUAUCAUGUAUUAUGUACUGUGCAUAAUUGUAUGUGUUAUACUUUUAUACAACUGGCAGCCUCUUAGGUUUGUUUACAUCAGCAUCACCACAAGUAUGCGAG